rnacentral:rRNA from 1 species
AGUAACUGCGAGUGAAGCGGGAAAAGCUCAAAUUUAAAAUCUGGCGGUCUUUGGCCGUCCGAGUUGUAGUCUGGAGAAGUGCUUUCCGCGCUGGACCGUGUAUAAGUCUCUUGGAACAGAGCGUCAUAGAGGGUGAGAAUCCCGUCUUUGACACGGACUACCAGUGCUUUGUGAUGCGCUCUCAAAGAGUCGAGUUGUUUGGGAAUGCAGCUCAAAAUGGGUGGUGAAUUCCAUCUAAAGCUAAAUAUUGGCGAGAGACCGAUAGCGAACAAGUACCGUGAGGGAAAGAUGAAAAGCACUUUGGAAAGAGAGUUAAACAGUACGUGAAAUUGCUGAAAGGGAAACGCUUGAAGUCAGUCGCGUUGUCCGGAACUCAGCCUUGCUUUUGCUUGGUGCACUUUCCGGAUGACGGGUCAGCAUCGAUUUUGACCGUCGGAAAAGGGCUGGAGUAAUGUGGCACCUCCGGGUGUGUUAUAGACUCUGGUCGCAUACGGCGGUUGGGAUCGAGGAACGCAGCGCGCCGCAAGGCAGGGGUUCGCCCACU